AGCUGGGACUUAAGCUGCCAUUCUUUAUCCCUCCCUCCCCUUUGUCCCUCACAGGAUGAGAAAGCAAUCUGUAUGGAAGCGAGUCAUAAGUAAAAAAAAGCUUACAGGAGGUACACGGCGCUGCAGAGCUAUGAGGAUGGUGGAUCCAGAAAGUGGGACCUGGUGAAUUCCAUACCAAAAUGUUGCAGCAUCUGUUGCACACAAGAGCUCUCCAUGCGACAUAGAGAAAGGGGUGACUACAAACAUAUUGGCCUUGAGCAGCAAGUUUCUUUUAGAAGAGUUGUUGGAAGUUGUUUGUCCUGCCCAUGAGAGGUGAUGCUCCAGAACACUCCUUUGUGCCUGUUCUACUCAGUGGCAUUGCUGAGAGGCAGACUGGCUCUGUGUGCAGUGCGACAGCUAUGGAAGGAACAAUUUCCCUUUACUGCCACUGUGUAUGAAAGAGGAAAAGGAACGUAAGAAAAUCUGGCAAUCUGCAUGAUGCAGAAAACCCCAAAUGAAUGCUAAUAGUUGGAAAUAAGGACAUAGGCUGCUCAGUGAUCCAAAGAAAGAGUUUGCAAGGAAGAUAAGAAAGGGGAACUUAUUUUCUAGCAAAAAUACAAAUUUCCAAAAAGUUCUAUAUUUUCUUAUCUGGUGGGAAAUUCUCCAGGAAGCCAGAUGGUGUUUAGUGAGUCUGAAGUACUUAAUCUUUACUUCUUGCAUGCUUGAUGAACAGUUAUGGAAACCUCUUGGAUGGUCCUAAAGCUGGAAUCUCUGGAUUAAGGAGGGAAAUGUGGUCAGUGUCAGGGCUGAAUGUGGUCCUGCCGAAGUUCUUCAUUGUACACUGUGGUGGUGCUCUGCAGCCAGAAACACAGGACUUCUGGCUCUGGUGCAGAUUUUUCACGAGAAUCAGACAGAGGACUCUCUGAGCAUCUAUGGGUCAUAGCAAACACAUCCCAAACUGAAAAGGUCUCUUGAGUCUGUGUACUGCAUGAAGUCCUGAUGCAUACUGGAACUCCUACAUGUUUCUGUAAUACAAGUAAAAAUUCCCGAUGGUAACAUAUUGCUGAUAAACUGAAAGCACAGGUCAAGGACACAAGGCAUUCUUUUCCCUGUAGUUUUCCAUUUGCUCAUGUUACAAUGACUACCCGUUCCUGUGGCUUGUUCCUUUCUGAUGAGCAAAGCACUCACUGUGCUGAGCAUGGAGCUCGUGAGCUCAGCUCACAUGGGAAAGCUGAUUCCAGAGGGCAAGUCCUUAAGUUGAGUUGUACCACUGGGCCCUUUAGUUUCUGUGGUAUAAACCUAGACCCAUUUACUUUAAACAGUUCUGCCUAAAAUUGGUGGCAUAGUGGAGUGCUGAAAGGUGGUUGAAAAGGGAGAUAAAAAGUUAGUGAUAUGAAGUGAAGCCAAACUAUAAAUGGUGUGAACCUUGUUUUCCUUUUCAAAGUAAAUUUAAAUGUAUGCAAUCUAAUUUAAAAUGACAAGAUGCUUUAGAAAUACACAUAUAUAUAGAAUAUCUCAUUUUAGUAAGAAGUCUUUCUGAAAAUCUUUUUCACUACCAAACAGACAUUUGGAUGACAUUGCCUGGCAGCUUGCUACAACACGAUACAAAGGGAUUUUUGUCAAACAUUGCCACAGUAUGAGUUUUUUGUUUUUUAUUUUUUAAAUUGAGAUCUUAUUUCUAUAAAGCCAGUCACAACUGAGAAGAAUUUCUCGUGCUUUAUGUGGUAACAAAUCUUCCAGAACAAUGAUAACCAACUCUUGGGUCAGUCUUGCUAAUUUACAUUGCUUAACAUCUUACAAUACAGACUGCUGGAAUGAGAGAAAGGAGUUAGGUAUAAAUUUCAAACAUUUCCUUCUGAGUUUUGGUCAGGUUCAUAGGAUUUUCCAAGAGAAAUGUGAAGGGAUUAAUCAAAAAUACAA